GCGGAGAGAUAAGCAAGUUCUUCGGAACGAGCUUAUGUCUCAGCGGCGAACGGGUGAGUAACGCGUGGGUAACCUGCCCUAAAGACCGGGAUAACAGCGGGAAACCGCUGCUAAUACCGGAUGAGUUUGCUUUUUCGCAUGAGGAAGCAAAGAAAGGAGCAAUCGCUUUAGGAUGGACCCGCGUCCCAUUAGCUAGUUGGUGAGGUAACGGCUCACCAAGGCGACGAUGGGUAGCCGGCCUGAGAGGGUGAACGGCCACACUGGGACUGAGACACGGCCCAGACUCCUACGGGAGGCAGCAGUAGGGAAUUUUGCGCAAUGGGGGGAACCCUGACGCAGCGACGCCGCGUGAGCGAAGAAGGCCUUCGGGUCGUAAAGCUCUGUCCUAUGGGACGAGAGAGGACGGUACCAUAGGAGGAAGCCCCGACUAACUACGUGCCAGCAGUCGCGGUAAUACGUAGGGGGCGAGCGUUGUCCGGAAUUACUGGGCGUAAAGGGUGCGUAGGCGGGCUGUCAAGUCUGAUGUGAAAGGUUGCGGCUUAACCGUGAGAAGGCAUUGGAAACUGGCAGUCUUGAGUGCAGGAGAGGGAAGCGGAAUUCCCGGUGUAGCGGUGGAAUGCGUAGAUAUCGGGAGGAACACCAGUGGCGAAGGCGGCUUUCUGGACUGUAACUGACGCUGAGGCACGAAAGCUGGGGGAGCAAACAGGAUUAGAUACCCUGGUAGUCCCAGCCGUAAACGAUGGAUACUAGGUGUUGGCGGUUCAGACCGUCAGUGCCGGAGCUAACGUGAUAAGUAUCCCGCCUGGGGAGUACGGUCGCAAGACUGAAACUCAAAGGAAUUGACGGGGGCCCGCACAAGCAGUGGAGCAUGUGGUUUAAUUCGAAGCAACGCGAAGAACCUUACCAGGGCUUGACAUCC
rnacentral:rRNA from 1 species